rnacentral:lncRNA from 1 species
CGGGUUUUCCGAUUUUGGCGUCUUGCGGUCCUAUAAAACACAGUGAGUCGCAGUGUCCCCAGCCUCCAGCAUAACUCUCUCCAAUUUCUCUCUCUCAAUGCUGUUCUCUCUAGAGCUCUUGCUUUCACUCUUUUAUCUUUCCAUUCCUUUUCCUCCCUCAUCUCUUUCCCCUUUUUUCCCCCUCUCUCGGUCUCUCUUAUACGGAUUACACUACAAGUUUGUGCUUUUUCUGUUCCCCUGGAAGAUAGUGCUACGGUGACCGCUCAGCCAUAACUCGCCAGUGUUCGUCUCAUAUUGAUUUUGAGGUAACAAUUUAAUUCUUCCUUUUUUUUUGGUAGUCAAUUUUUUUUUGUCAGGCCCUACUUUUCUCGAAAUUUUUCUUGCCUUUUUGCCUUUCUCCCCUCCCCUCUCCUACUCCGACUUCUCUCUCCCCGUUUCCGUGGAGAUUUAUGAUCUAUAUUGCAUCCGUUGUCUUCCUGGACAUGAAUCCGUAUUCGUUUUCGUCUCUUUUCUUCUAGCUUUUUCCUGAAAUUUCACUGUUUCCCUUA